UACGGGGGGGGGCAAGCGUUGUUCGGAAUUACUGGGCGUAAAGGGCUCGUAGGCGGCCAACUAAGUCAGACGUGAAAUCCCUCGGCUUAACCGGGGAACUGCGUCUGAUACUGGAUGGCUUGAGGUUGGGAGAGGGAUGCGGAAUUCCAGGUGUAGCGGUGAAAUGCGUAGAUAUCUGGAGGAACACCGGUGGCGAAGGCGACAUCCUGGACCAAUUCUGACGCUGAGGAGCGAAAGCCAGGGGAGCAAACGGG
rnacentral:rRNA from 1 species